CGGCAGUUCAUUACCGAAUUGUCUUCUACAGGUGGUGGCGGGCCUUUAGGGGUUCACCUCACUUGUCUUCUUUAUCAUUUCUCCACACUGUGCUUUAUUUGUAGACCUGGAGUGGGCUUUUUUUUCGAAUUCAUAUUCGAAGUUGGUCUUCUGCUGACCUUUUCAUACAAAAAAGUCGGCUUUCCCUUGUAUUUUCAACUCUAUAUUACUUUUUUUCACAACCUCUCUCAACAUAUGUUUAGAAUGCUAUAAUAAAAAAGGUAUAAACAACUUUCAGCAACGGAGCUCUUGGCUCUCGCUUCGAUGAAGAACGCACCCAAAUGGGACCCGUAAUGUGAAUUGCAGAAUUCAGUGAAUCAUCGAAUCUUUGAACGCAUCUUGCGCUCCUUGGUAUUCCGAGGAGCAUGCCUGUGUGAGUGUCAUUUGACUUCUCUCAACCCCAUCAAGGGGGGGGGGGCGCUUGGAUGUGGGGGUUUGCAGGCUUUUUCUAAUGAAAGCUGGCUCUCUCUGAAAUGCAUUAGAGGUAAUCUGAACUGCUAUUGGUGUGAUAAUUUAUCUAUGCCUUUGGUCAUGCUGGGACAGCACUGCUUAUAACCACAAACAUUUGACAAAUUUGACCUCAAAUCAGAUAGGACUACCCGCUGAACUUAAAGCAUAUCAAUAGGCGGAGGCACCCGGUGAAUCUUAUCUUAAUGAAGCGGAGGAGGUGUUCAUUCAGCGGAGGGGAGGUGCGCUCACAACGGGGGUCGUCUAAUGUG
rnacentral:sRNA from 1 species